UGCGGAUAUACGAAAGUACAGUCGAAAAAGGUUAGUCACAAGAAGUCAGCAGAAGACAUAGUAAUGGAAUAAAUCCAUGAAGGGC
rfam:Bacillus sp. MTM 13 156, whole genome shotgun sequence.